UACGUAGGGUGCGAGCGUUGUCCGGAAUUAUUGGGCGUAAAGAGCUCGUAGGCGGUCUGUCGCGUCUGCUGUGAAAAUCAGGGCUCAACCCUGGACCUGCAGUGGGUACGGGCAGACUAGAGUGCGGUAGGGGAGAUCGGAAUUCCUGGUGUAGAGGUGAAAUUCGUAGAUAUUAGGAAGAACACCGGUGGCGAAGGCGGCAUCCUGGACCGACACUGACACUGAGGAGCGAAAGCCAGGGGAGCAAACGGG
rnacentral:rRNA from 1 species